ensembl:snoRNA LOC120093965 small nucleolar RNA SNORA48
ACCCCCUGGCAAUGGGCAAAGAGACCCCUUGUUAAUGGAGUUGUUCUUACAUCAGUCAGGGGCAGAGCAGACACAGGCCUUUGUUCAUCCUAGCUUGAUGCCUGGCUUGGUGGCCAAAGCUGUUUCAUGCCUAGGGCACAGCC